rnacentral:rRNA from 1 species
CACGUAGUUAGCCGGGGCUUCUUGUUCAGGUACUGUCAUUUUCCUCCCUGCCGACAGGGCUUUACAUGCCGAGGCAUUUCAUCGCCCACGCGGCGUCGCUGCAUCAGGGUUCCCCCCAUUGUGCAAUAUCCCCCACUGCUGCCUCCCGCAGGAGUCUGGGCCGUGUCUCAGUCCCAAUGUGGCCGGCCGCCCUCUCAGGCCGGCUACUGAUCGUCGCCUUGGUGGGCUUCUGUCCCGCCAACAAGCUAAUCAGACGCGGGCCCAUCCCGUACUGCCGGAGCUUUCCCGCAGGGCCAUGCGGCCCCGCGGGAUCAUGCGGUAUUAGCAGCCGUUUCCGGCUGUUCGUCCCCCGGUACGGGCAGGUUCGCCCACGCGUUACUCACCCGUCCGCCACUCAGUCACUCCGCGCUUCAUUUCCGGAGAACUCCAUGCGGAUGCUUCGUCGACUUGCAUGUGUUAGCACGCCGCCAGCGUUCAUCCUGACGCCAGGAUC